CCAUUUUGUAAUGACCCACCUCCACUAUCCCCACUAUCUCCACCAUCUCCACCAUCCCCACCACUCCCACCAUCUCCACCAUCCCCAACUUCUUUAAAGAGAAAGAGAGAGAGAGAGGGAGAGAGAGAGAGAGAGAGAAAGAGAGAGAGAAAGAGAGAGAAAGCUCACCUGAGCUCGUCGCCGGAGCAACCGUGUGCCGUGAUCACGUUCAGCUUGCCACCACCGAUAAACGCCCUAGGCCAUCAUCGUGUUCCUCUCGUCGAGACGAAGCCGUAGACACCAACCACGCCUCAAACGGAGCCCGGACGAAGCCGCACGCGCCUCCCGAAGAUUCGCCUCGGCGCGCGCGUGAAACACACGCGCCACCGCCGUCCGCCGGAGCCACCGCGAGUUCCGGCCACGCGCCGCCGUCUCCGACCAACGUUCGCCGGAGCCGCCGUGACCGACCACCGUCCGUUCGCCGCCGGGAAGCUGCCGCCGCGUCGCCGCCUCGCCGCCGUCGCCGCCGUUGACUUUCCGAUAUGGAGUCUAUUUGAGCAGCUGGAGUUCAUAGACAACACUUUUCUAUUGCUAAGUUGAGGGUCUAUUCCCGAACUCCUCUUAUUCGGCUUAGGACCUCGAAUAAGUAUAAUUUAUUUCUAAUGUGUUCCGUCUGUGUGAAAUCGAGUCUAUCAUUGCUUGUUUAGUUUUAGGUUCUUUGCAUAAACCGGAACUAGGGGGUUAGAGGAUUCAACAUUGAUUGUUUCACUUAAUGUAAAUUCUUAGCUAGGAUUGUUUUUGUUUGGAGACGGAUACAGAGUCGGACUGCUGUAUGCCGGAUUGUAUGGAGGUCACAGCCAACUUUAGUCGACCGGUUGAGCUGUAGACUGGAAGUGUCGAUAAAUCGUCUACGGGCGUGUGUUACCGAGCACUUUUUCGGUGUGUGUAUGAACCGAGCACCUUUUUGGUAGUGUUUUGGCCUGUUAGUGGGCGGCGAGUGUGCACCUCGCUAGGACCAUUGUUUGUUGCUUGAGUACUUUAGGUACUGUGUUUGACAUGCAUUAGAAUUAAAUUAUAUUUAUUCGGAGUGCUAUGUCCGGGUCCAUGGACUUCGGGGUAGCAUCCCAUACCUCACUGAGCGAUUCCCCUGUCGCUCACCCCUCACUCUUCCCCUUUUCAGGUGAGACAAACAAGUAUGUGAUAUUUGGACGGACUUGGUGCUAUUGGACUUUUCUUUCGGAUUUUAUUUGGGCAUGGGUGAGAGUUGUCGGGUUUAUGGGCUUUUAUAUUACAGGAUAUUGUUGGUGGCCCGUCGUCCUUAGUGUCAGGGAGACGGGUAUCACAUUGUUGUAUGAUGACGCGUCGGGGGUGACACGCUGUCCUCCAUAUAGGAGGUGACGGGUGUCACAAUUUGGUAUCAGAGCGGGUUCCAUCCCGGUUCCGUCCGGGAUGGCGGUCAGGGGAUUUGGUUUUCAUCGGUUUUCAACUUUAAAAAAAAAAAACAAUAUAUUUAUUUAUACAUUUCGAAAUUCUUUUAGCACCAUUCUGUCCAGUAAUUACUAACUCAAAUGUCUCUUUCUAUGACGAUGAGUAAAAUCAUCGUCAUUCGUCCUUCGACUAUCAAGGUUCUCGACAGAUGUUCAGCAGUUGCGUGAAGUCCAAGUUCGUCAGUUUUCUCGGGAGUUAUCAGUUUCUUCGGUCAUGAUUUCGAGGCUAUCCAGGAGUGGAUAUGUGACGUUUCUGCCACCAGCCCACUUCAAGCAAUCGUUCCACGAGUUUUGUUACUGGAGAUUAUGUGGUGUGUGGUAUGAGCCAUUGGUUGGCAUGUGUUGUUGUGUGUACGAGUAUAUUGACUAUUUUGGAGAUAUAAUUGUUUUGUGAACUCGUGGAGAUCGCUUUUGAAUUGGGGUGCAGCAGCUUGCGUUGUGUAGGUGUUGGAGUUACACUUUGGUAUGUUUACCAAUUUUGGCAGUGUUGAUCGUUUCAGAGAUGUGUCAGUUUAGACAACUGACAUAGGACAUUGGGAGCUAUUUAUAUCCAUCGCAGUGUACCAGUUAUGCUUGGAGGGCCGAUUUGUUCGGAUAUUCAUCAGAGAUGGAGCUACGUUUUUACGAUGUUAUCCUUGGGACGGAUUGAUUGUCACGGCAUCAAGUAGUGUUGGAUUGCCUGAGGGCAAGAGUUCCGAUUGCGGGAGCAGAUGGAAGUUGUUUGUGCAUGCAUGCUACAUACUGAGGAGUUAUGGGAUACAAGGACAUAGAGAUUUUUGACUUUAUGGGAUACAAGGACAUAGAGAUUUUUGACUACCAUCUCGAUGGUUAAGGCUGAUGGACAACAUGAGCUGCAGGAUCUUCCGGUUAUUGCAGAGUAUGAGGAUAUAUUUGUGACCUUUGGAACGGUCACCACAUGACACAUGAGAAACUCUUGCGAUUUGUUUGGAGCAAACAACACCAGUUUCACAAGUUUUAUACCGAUUAGCACCAACAGAGAUGACAAAGCUGAAAGAGCAUGUUGAAGAUUCAUCAGACAAGGGUUUUAUCAGACCGGAUACUUUACCGUGGGGAACAUCAUCAUUGUUGUUGUAAAGAAGAAAGGUGGGAGUUUCAAUUUUGUAUCGACUACAAAGGUCUGAACAAAGUGACCAUUAAAGAUAAGUAUCGCUUCCGCGCGUUGAUGAAUUAUUGGAUUAUUUACAGGAAGUUUAUAGUUCUUGAAGGUUGACAUGGCAUCAGAACACCAUCAGAUUACUAUAUUUGAAGAGUAUCUACUGAAUGUGAAUUUUUGUAUACAUUAUGGAUAUUAUGGGACGCAGUGAUACCAUUUGGGUCGACAAAGGCACUGUUGCAUUCAUGAAGAUAUGAAUGACGUUUUCAUGAACAUUUGGAUAGGUGUGCGAUUGUAUUCCUCGAUGACAUCCUGAUUUAUUUUGGAGAAGAAAGGAGAUUUGUGAGCAUUUCGCGGAUUGCGUUGGAUAAGCCUGGAGAUCAUCAGUUGUUCGCUAAGUUGAGGAAGUGUAGCUUCUGGCAGAGGAAUGUUGUAUUUUUUGGCUGACAUGGUUUUGGAAGCAGAAUUUUGAUGGAUCCAAAGAAGAUUAAUACCGUUUCGGGAAGGUCGAAACCUAAGAGCGCUACAAAGAUCUGCCGUUCUUUUUGGGUUAAUAGUAUACUACUGGAAGUUCAUCAAGGGUUUCACCGGUAUAGUAAUGUUAAAGACGCGGUCUACAUGUAAAGACGUAAAGUGUGGCUGGAUAGAUUUUGUUCGAGGAGUUUCACUGAAUUGAAGCACAACUAAUGAAGACACCAGUUUUGGGUUCUACUGAGGCUGAGGCUUACUGUGAUGUGUCAGAUACUGGAUUGGAUUUAAAUUAAGGUAUGAGGAUUAAGUCAUUCAUAUGCAUCAUGCCAGAGAGGCUGUAGUGGUAUUUGCGUUAUAGUUUUGGAGAUCGUAAUUGUACGGGAAGGAAGUUCAGAUUCUCUGGGAUUAUUAGAAUGUGAAAUUUAUCUUCAUUUAUUAAAAACUUGUACUUGGACAGUGCAGUUGGAUUGAGUUUGUAGCAGGCAGUUUUGCUAUGGAGGAUACACAAGCACAAGUUAGCAUUAUGGAUUGGUUGAACAGAUCGAGAUUGGGAGUAUUGGAUAUCAUACAGCUUUGAGCAGGAUAUACUUGUACUGAAACCGAGUUUGUGUGUUGGACGAUAAGUUGUUAAGAAAAGGAAUCUUACAACAAACAUAUCACUCGUGUUUCUCUACCCAUCGGGAAGACCAAAGGGUACAAAGAUAUGAAGAGUUAACUAUAAUUGGUGUAGUAUGAAGAUGUUUGUAACUACAUUACGUCGCGGUGCCAGACAUGUUAUAUGGCAAUAACAGAGGAUCAGUCAUCUAUCAUGUUAUUUUUGAGCUUGCUUUUGCUGGAGUAGAAAUGAGGCAUGGUGAUUAUGGACAUUGUUAUUGGAUUUUAAAUCACCAUAUGUGGAAAGGAUGCCACAUGGGUAGUCAUGGAUAGACUUACCAAGUCAGCCCAUUUCCUAAGUAAUUAAGAAGAUAAUCAGGGCUAAUCAAUUGGAGCAGACCUACAUUAUUGAGUUCAGGAAGUUUCAUGGAUGUCAACAUUGUAUCGGAUUGGGAAUCGAAGUUCACAUCUACAUUUCAGAAAGCCUUUCGGAAGGCACUUGGUACAAAGAUCAUAUGAGUACAUCUUAUCACCCGUUGACAUAUUGUCAGUUAGAGAGGACUAUUGAGAACUUAAAUGAUAUGUUCAGAGAUUGCGUGGGAUGGAAUUUCGGAAAGCAUCUACCUUUACCAGAGUUUGCCUACAUCGACAAUUAUCUUUCGAGUAAAAAAAAAAAAAAAAAAAAAAAAAAAAAAAAAUUAAUAUACAAGGGUUAUUUAUGGUAGACCUUAUAGUAUACCACUUUGUUGGACCAAAGUGGGGGAGCGACAUGAGUUAAAAGUAUUAAUGGUUCAAAAGACGGCUGAGCAAAUGGAAAUGCUCAAUGAUGGGCUUUCGGAAUCCCAUGACGUCAGAGAAUUUAUGCAGCUAAGCACUGUAAGGAUUUAGAGCUACAUAUGAGCACCUAAUAUACCUGAAAAUAAGGACAUUUCAGGAGGGACCUAAGACUCAGAAGAUAAAAGAGCUUAAACCGAGACACAUGGAAUUGUAUCCUUCGCUGGAGUGGAUUGGAUUAAUUGCUUGCAGUUACUUUAUCAGCAGUAUAUCAGCCUUCUAGUACUUGGUUCAUAUGACAGCAUUGCAAAAGUUAAGAAGGCGCUAUAACUAUUUUGCAGUAGACAUCAAGUGAGUUCAUAAAGAUUUUAUGAACCUUAUCAUCUAUUGGAGAUUUUGGAUCAUCAUGAGAAGACAGUUCGGGGAAUAUCGACUGUGUUUGUCCGAGUUCAUUGGGAGGGAGAUAAGACCCAGGAGGAGACCUGAAAGGUCGAGCGAAGAUUAGUAUUCGAGGUUUUGCUAUGAUGACAUUGGGCAUGUCAGCUUAUGACUUGAAUUCGGGGUCGAAUUCCUUGUUAGUGGGGGAGAAUUGUAAUGACCCACCUCCACUAUCCCCACUAUCUCCACCAUCUCCACCAUCCCCACCACUCCCACCAUCUCCACCAUCCCCAACUUCUUUAAAGAGAAAGAGAGAGAGAGAGGGAGGGAGAGAGAGAGAGAGAGAGAAAGAGAGAGAGAAAGAGAGAGAAAGCUCACCUGAGCUCGUCGCCGGAGCAACCGUGUGCCGUGAUCACGUUCAGCUUGCCACCACCGAUAAACGCCCUAGGCCAUCAUCGUGUUCCUCUCGUCGAGACGAAGCCGUAGACACCAACCACGCCUCAAACGGAGCCCGGACGAAGCCGCACGCGCCUCCCGAAGAUUCGCCUCGGCGCGCGCGUGAAACACACGCGCCACCGCCGUCCGCCGGAGCCACCGCGAGUUCCGGCCACGCGCCGCCGUCUCCGACCAACGUUCGCCGGAGCCGCCGUGACCGACCACCGUCCGUUCGCCGCCGGGAAGCUGCCGCCGCGUCGCCGCCUCGCCGCCGUCGCCGCCGUUGACUUUCCGAUAUGGAGUCUAUUUGAGCAGCUGGAGUUCAUAGACAACACUUUUCUAUUGCUAAGUUGAGGGUCUAUUCCCGAACUCCUCUUAUUCGGCUUAGGACCUCGAAUAAGUAUAAUUUAUUUCUAAUGUGUUCCGUCUGUGUGAAAUCGAGUCUAUCAUUGCUUGUUUAGUUUUAGGUUCUUUGCAUAAACCGGAACUAGGGGGUUAGAGGAUUCAACAUUGAUUGUUUCACUUAAUGUAAAUUCUUAGCUAGGAUUGUUUUUGUUUGGAGACGGAUACAGAGUCGGACUGCUGUAUGCCGGAUUGUAUGGAGGUCACAGCCAACUUUAGUCGACCGGUUGAGCUGUAGACUGGAAGUGUCGAUAAAUCGUCUACGGGCGUGUGUUACCGAGCACUUUUUCGGUGUGUGUAUGAACCGAGCACCUUUUUGGUAGUGUUUUGGCCUGUUAGUGGGCGGCGAGUGUGCACCUCGCUAGGACCAUUGUUUGUUGCUUGAGUACUUUAGGUACUGUGUUUGACAUGCAUUAGAAUUAAAUUAUAUUUAUUCGGAGUGCUAUGUCCGGGUCCAUGGACUUCGGGGUAGCAUCCCAUACCUCACUGAGCGAUUCCCCUGUCGCUCACCCCUCACUCUUCCCCUUUUCAGGUGAGACAAACAAGUAUGUGAUAUUUGGACGGACUUGGUGCUAUUGGACUUUUCUUUCGGAUUUUAUUUGGGCAUGGGUGAGAGUUGUCGGGUUUAUGGGCUUUUAUAUUACAGGAUAUUGUUGGUGGCCCGUCGUCCUUAGUGUCAGGGAGACGGGUAUCACAUUGUUGUAUGAUGACGCGUCGGGGGUGACACGCUGUCCUCCAUAUAGGAGGUGACGGGUGUCACA